AUCGCUUCUCGGCCUUUUGGCUAAGAUCAAGUGUAAAAUCUCAUUUCUAAUCAGUCACACUUGUUUUAUUUUUUUUCACUUCCU
rnacentral:snRNA from 1 species